rnacentral:rRNA from 1 species
CCCUACGGGAGGCUGCAGUGGGGAAUUUUGGACAAUGGGGGCAACCCUGAUCCAGCCAUGCCGCGUGCGGGAAGAAGGCCUUCGGGUUGUAAACCGCUUUUAGUCGGGAAGAAAAGGCGCGGCCUAAUACGUCGCGUUCUUGACGGUACCGGCGGAAUAAGCACCGGCUAACUACGUGCCAGCAGCCGCGGUAAUACGUAGGGUGCGAGCGUUAAUCGGAAUUACUGGGCGUAAAGCGUGCGCAGGCGGUUCGUUAAGUCUGAGGUGAAAGCCCCGGGCUCAACCUGGGAAUGGCAUUGGAAACUGGCGGGCUUGAGUGUGGCAGAGGGGGGUGGAAUUCCGCGUGUAGCAGUGAAAUGCGUAGAGAUGCGGAGGAACACCGAUGGCGAAGGCAGCCCCCUGGGCUAACACUGACGCUCAGGCACGAAAGCGUGGGGAGCAAACAGGAUUAGAUACCCCAGUAGUC